rnacentral:rRNA from 1 species
CCUACGGGUGGCACCAGUGAGGAAUUUUGCGCAAUGGGGGAAACCCUGACGCAGCAACGCCGCGUGAGUGAAGAAGGCCUUCGGGUCGUAAAGCUCUGUCAAGUGGGAAGAACCCUUCAGGUGUUAACAGCACCUGGAGCUGACGGUACCACUGAAGGAAGCACCGGCUAACUCCGUGCCAGCAGCCGCGGUAAUACGGAGGGUGCAAGCGUUAUUCGGAAUUACUGGGCGUAAAGGGCGCGCAGGCGGCCUGUCAAGUCAGUUGUGAAAUCCCGGGGCUCAACCCCGGAAGUGCGACUGAAACUGGCGGGCUUGAGUAUGGGAGAGGGAAGUGGAAUUCCUGGUGUAGCGGUGAAAUGCGUAGAUAUCAGGAGGAACACCGGUGGCGAAGGCGACUUCCUGGACCAAUACUGACGCUGAGGCGCGAAGGCGUGGGGAGCAAACAGGAUUAGAUACCCUUGUAGUC